rnacentral:rRNA from 1 species
AACGAACGCUGGCGGCAGGCCUAACACAUGCAAGUCGAGCGCCCCGCUAGGGGAGCUGCGGACGGGUGAGUAACGCGUGGGAAUAUGCCCUUUGCUACGGAAUAGUCUCGGGAAACUGGGGGUAAUACCGUAUACGCCCUUUGGGGGAAAGAUUUAUCGGCGAAGGAUUAGCCCGCGUUGGAUUAGGUAGUUGGUGGGGUAAUGGCCUACCAAGCCGACGAUCCAUAGCUGGUGUGAGAGGAUGAUCAGCCACACUGGGACUGAGACACGGCCCAGACUCCUACGGGAGGCAGCAGUGGGGAAUCUUAGACAAUGGGGGCAACCAUGAUCUAGCCAUGCCGCGUGAGUGAUGGAGGCCUUAGGGUUGUAAAGCUCUUUCAGCUGGGAAGAUAAUGACGGUACCAGCAGAAGAAGCCCCGGCUAACUCCGUG